rnacentral:rRNA from 1 species
GAUGAACGCUGGCGGCGUGCCUAAUACAUGCAAGUCGAGCGAACGGACGAGAAGCUUGCUUCUCUGAUGUUAGCGGCGGACGGGUGAGUAACACGUGGAUAACCUACCUAUAAGACUGGGAUAACUUCGGGAAACCGUAGCUAAUACCGGAUAAUAUUUUGAACCGCAUGGUUCAAAAGUGAAAGACGGUCUUGCUGUCACUUAUAGAUGGAUCCGCGCUGCAUUAGCUAGUUGGUAAGGUAACGGCUUACCAAGGCAACGAUGCAUAGCCGACCUGAGAGGGUGAUCGGCCACACUGGAACUGAGACACGGUCCAGACUCCUACGGGAGGCAGCAGCAGGGAAUCUUCCGCAAUGGGCGAAAGCCUGACGGAGCAACGCCGCGUGAGUGAUGAAGGUCUUCGGAUCGUAAAACUCUGUUAUUAGGGAAGAACAGAUGUGUAAGUAACUGUGCACAUCUUGACGGUACCUAAUCAGAAAGCCACGGCUAACUACGUG